AAUCGAGCUGUUUAAAAUUUACAAAAUUUGCUAUCGGGAUGGCGAACUACCGGCGAUGGUCCGCGAAUGAUUUUGCGUGAGUUCUGUUUGCAUUGGAAAUUAAAAUUUCAUGUGCGUCAUUUCAAUUUUACAGAAUAUAUUAAUCUCGUUCUUGAUAUUUUAGAGAUGUAAGAGCGAACGUCGCAUUCUCUGAAGAGAAUAGAAUGUGAGCGCAAAUUUACGGUCACCCUAUAUCUUCUACAGACAAGAGAUAUAGAAAUAUCAAGAACCGCCAAAAAACGGAGACUCCUGGAGAGACUCUGUACCAGGGACCCACGCCUCAAUCGCUUCCAAGUAGCAACGUGGCGCGGCGCCCGGGUCGUCGUGGCGAGAGGGUGGCGAUUUUUCGCCCCGAGGGUGGCGCGAGGGGAAUGGAGAACGCACGGCCGGGCUGCUGCUGUUGUCACGGCGCGUAGCCAUAUCGGGGGAGCAGUGCGAGGCCGGCUAUCAGCCGCCCAACAUCGACGUGUCGGGAUUACGUUUGCAUAUGUAACACGGCUGCUGUACAGGCAGUACGUACACGCUAUCAUUUAGACGGACAGACAGACGAACAGACGGACGGACGGACGGACGGACGGACGGGUAGACAGACACAUAACAGCGCCACGCUCUUCGCCCUCCUGCCCCCUCACGCGUGGUACCGCCACCGUGUGCGUCUCGUUCUUUCGCUGAGUUUACACAUGGAAGAAUAAGUAGAACGAACAGAAGGGAACAGUGAAAUUUCUUUCUCAUCUCGGUGAGAAUUGGAGGGGACGAGAGGCCCUUCGCAAAUCCGCGCGGCAUGCGUCGUGAUCGAUAAGGGCGACCGGAGGACUGGUGCACACCGUCGUCCCCUUUCAGUAGUAGCAGCAAAAAGGAUAGUUGCUUCGUGUCCCGCGUUGAGGUCGAAAGAUGACUGGGAAUUCCGAUAGGCGGAGAGUGCGAUGGGCUAGCACGCGAUAGAGGAUGACAGGAGAAAGAGAGUGCGAGUGGGCGAGGCGGAUGAGAGAAGGAGCAAGAAGGGGGUGAAAAGAGAGAGAGAGAGAGAGAAAGAGAGAAGAUAAAAGAGAUCAAGAGAGACAGUGAGGAAGUGAAAAGAAGGGAGAUCUGUGAAACGAGAGGGGAAAAGUGAUGAGGAAGCAAGAAGAGUCGUUUGCAAAAAACUCUAUGAAGAAACAUCAGUCGAA